GAAUUCUGGAGUUGCUGUUGAGAUAAAAAUUUCCGGUUGUGAUUUGUUUUCUGUUUGCUUCCUGAGAAAAUGAUUUGUGUUUCUCGGUAGUAUGACUUGUUACGGCCGGACGAAUUUGGUGAAAUCGAGCUUCAUUCUUCUACUGUUUCUCAUAUCAAAACUCUGCUGUUUGUUUGCAAAUUUACAUAUCAAUUUUAAGAUUUAGAUACAUACUUUGGGUAAUGUUUAUUUUCUGUUUGCUUCCUGAGAGUUAUGAAUUCUGAGAGUUAAGAUUUAGAUACAUUCUUUGGAAAAUUAUGAAUUCUGUGAGUUUUCGGUAAUCAAACAAAGGGUUAUGCCUCUGAAUUGGUUUGGUUAGGGGCUCCAAGUCAUUCUUGUCCUGUUUCUUUCAAAUUAGAUUUUUCUACUCUACCAGUCAAAAUGAAAUUUCAGCGGGCAAGCUAGGGGUACCUCAAAUUUUAUUAUACCUGAAACUCUCUGAUCCUUGUAUUUUGGUUACUUUUUGGAUAAAUUUGUGCAUCAUGACUUUGUUCGUAUGCAAGUUCAAUGCCUAUGGUUUGGAGUCUACAAGGAAGUCUCAACGAUGAUAAGCAUCUGUGCACCCAGUGGCUUCUACUAACGAAACCUUUUUCAACAACAAUAUCUUUAAGACUUGCAUCGUAUUGAUCUCAAAAAAUAUGUAUCCCUGCUAACAAUUCUGCGAUUCUUUAAGUGCAGCUUCACUGCUUAGGGGUUUUGUUAAACUGCCAUCCUGUUUCUUCUAUUUAAGGUAUCUGUUCUCCAAUACGCAUCAAAGGUUGGUGAUGGAACUGAUUUUUCAUUUGCCUUUUGCCCCAAGCUAUUGCACUCGUCUCUAGAGGCCCUCAUGAAGACCCAAAGGGAUGAUGUCGGCUUGAAUUGUGUAGCAUUCUUGACAGUGUUGGCUUAGAGAGGGCUUUUCGGGGCUGCAUAUGCAAUUGAUUUAAACAGCAUGACUUCAUCCGAAGGAGAUAGCUUUGAGCAAGCAACAGAAGAUGAAAAAUAUGUGAAUCCAAUGAAUAUAUUGUUUACGGAGGCCUUCAAAGAACCACUGCUUUCAACAGACAGCCAAGUCCAGAUCAGCACACUGGAUUUACUGUUUCAUUACAUGUCCUCCUGGGAAGGCACUUCAGGCAAAGAAACCCAAGUCCUACGACACACAGCGUGUUGGUAUGAUCACCUACAAACAUCCCCCACACCAACAAUAACCCUUGAUGAACGGGCAAUCAUUUUCGGGGGUCUACUCUUUCUAUUUGGACUUUUUGGAAUGCUCAUGAUCUCUCCCCACUCUAAAUUAUUUAAGAAAAAGAAAGAAAAAGAAUAGGGAGAGGUCAGGUCUUGAAAAUACUGAAGUCGUGGACUUCAUUGAUCUCUUUAAUUAGUAGAACAAAACCUAAACCAAGAGCUACUUUGACCUGAGUUUGUUAUACAUGUUUUUUGAAUAUCUAGACCUGUUAUUGCUAUUUUGUUUCAGUUCAAAAUGGAAUUUCUUUGGCUGCAUUUCUUCC